ACAUGGGACUCUUAGUAACCACACUGCUGACAUUGGAAGAGCCCAGGUUCGCCUGACUGCAAAGUCCAUGCCCUGGCGCCAAAUUGUGGCGUACAUCAUCAGACCAGGCACCAGACCAAAGACCUCCUGGCCCACAGCAAACCGCAGGUGUUCAGGAACAUGAGGAAGGGAAUGUUAUUGACAAUGUUCCAGACUCCCUUGAAGUGGGAUGUCCUUGGAACCACAGUAGACGGGACGGCCAUCUUGCCAGCGAAACCCAACGAAAAGCCCCUAGUAGCUGCCAGAACGAAUUGGAGGUCAACCAAUCACCAAGCGACAGCACCACCUGAUGCGAAAAAAGGCCCACCCGGACCUAAACCCGGAACCACUGCAGCUUAAAAACCCCACCCCACCACGCCUGGGCACGACUUCCCUGACUCCUCUCUCUCUCUUUCUCCCUGAGUCACGGAACCUCGCCCGAGACCUUAGUUCCUGAUAAAGCCUUUGACUGCUAAAA